rnacentral:rRNA from 1 species
CCUACGGGUGGCAGCAGUGGGGAAUAUUGGGCAAUGGGCGCAAGCCUGACCCAGCAACGCCGCGUGAAGGAAGAAGGCUUUCGGGUUGUAAACUUCUUUUCUGGGGGACGAACAAAUGACGGUACCCCAGGAAUAAGCCACGGCUAACUACUUGCCAGCAGCCGCGGUAAUCUGUAGGUGGCAAGCGUUGUCCGGAUUUAUUGGGUGUAAAGGGCGUGUAGGCGGGAAUGCAAGUCAGAUGUGAAAACGAUGGGGUCAACCCAUAGCCUGCAUUUGAAACUGUAUUUCUUGAGUGCUGGAGAGGCAAUCGGAAUUCCGUGUAUAGCGGUGAAAUGCGUAGAUAUACGGAGGAACACCAGUGGCGAAGGCGGAUUGCUGGACAGUAACUGACGCUGAGGCGCGAAAGCGUGGGGAGCAAACAGGAUUAGAUACCCUUGUAGUC